rnacentral:lncRNA from 1 species
CCUCGGAGCUUUGCUGAAACUGCACAAAAAAUCGAGCUGGGGGGUUCCCUGGUCCCCGAUGUUGGGGCGGAGAGCGCGGCGCCGAGGGAGGGGGCGGCGCAGACCGGCCUAGGGGACACCUGGUCGAGCGCAGCCGCCGCUCCGCUCGAGCCCUGCGCUCCAGUGCCCCCACUGGCUGGAGAGCUCGCCCAGACCGGGGGUCUUCCUCCGUCGCUGACAGAUUUUAACCAUUAGAAGAAUACCAGUUCUGGAAAACAACCAAAGUUUCUUUGAUUGAAUGCCCAUGUAAUGCAUUGGAAUAUGAUAGGCGAUUAAGGUUUAACAAUGUUAAAAUGAAGAUAUUACUAAAAUGGCCCUCUAAAUAGCCCAACAAUUAUUAUUUUCUUUGUCCUAUGGAUUUGGCUUUGAAAGAUGUGCUGCUCUUAAUAAGUGUGUAGUCAUUAAACCCAGAACCUCAGAGGGCUCUACUACUAAACCAUAUACCAGUACCAAAACCGAAAAAUAUUGACGAUACUUUUGUGCUGAAUAUUCCUCAGCCUUAACUUACUAAUGCUUAUGCCCAAUGGAUCUUCCUUCAUGAAGUACCCUCUCCUCCCCCCCAUUUAUCUUUGGUGAUUUUAAUAAAUAAUACCUUUGGAAAAUGAUA